UUAACUCAAAUUUGUACGGAGUUGGAACGUUUGCUUACGUUUGCCGCUAGGGGUGCUGUUCCAACUGCAUACAAAUCCGAGUUA
rfam:Bombyx mori DNA, contig: Bm_scaf3_contig3310, strain: p50T/Dazao, build 2, whole genome shotgun sequence.